ensembl:snoRNA SNORA70 Small nucleolar RNA SNORA70
CUGCAGCCAGUUAAGCCGACCAGCCUGCCUGCAGUGGAGGCCUGGUGUGCAAUGGCUGCGCACAGCACCCCCCCUGGUUGUGUACGUGCUCCAUGAACCAUCUGGUGCACCUUAAGGGACCUCGGGGACACCA